UGAAAACCAUAAAGUCUCAGGUGACUAUAUCCAGGAUUGUCAUGCGUUUUGUACCUGGAUUAUAUCCGCAUAUAAUCGACCCGGAUUACAGUUUUUUACAAUCGCUAUGACAGUUUUUUCAAAACAUUUAACAAGUUUCCUAAACUCUGAACACGGUUAGCACAACAUCCGUCUUUGUAGGCUAUACAAUUAACACGUUUCUUGUUGCUUUGAUACAAAAUGCAUACAGUUAACACCAAUUUAAAAUGUUUGAACUUCUUUUACACACAAGCUCAACCAAGACCAAAACAAUGUAAUUUUACAGUCAAAUUUACAAAUGCUUUCACACUGUAUGUCAGAACAGAUAACAUCAUGUUUUAAACAUAACUUAUAUAGGCUAAAGUCAAAGUGAACAGCUGUUCAUAUUGUGAAUUGAAACACAAAUAUAUUCCCUGUAUUUUAUUCCAUUGCCAAUGAGAAACAGCUUAUUGCAGUUAUGCAAAUAUAUAAAUCACAGCUGAUUCCCAUCUAGGAACCACACUCAGGUGUUGAGGUUUUUCCAAUCACAUGAUCAUAUGUUCUAAAAGAGGACUCUUUGGGCUGAUCUUGUGUGGAAAAGGAACAAUAUAGAGCAACACAAAGAAAGAAAGAAAGAAAGAAAGAAAGAAAGAAAGAAAGAAAGAAAGAAAGAAAGAAAGAAAGAAAGAGAAUGCCUGCCUGCAAAGAAGGACCAGAGCUAGGGUAACUGAUCAAAUAAGAGCUACUAUCAUUGACCAUGUCAUAAACCAUGGCCUAUCAUACAGAGAGGCAGGUGAACGAGUACAGCCAAAUCUCAGCCGGGACACAGUGGCAUCCAUUGUCCGUAUUUUCAGAGAAAUAAACAGGAUUCAACGUCUACCUCCCUCAGGGGGCAGAGGAAAGCUCUUGAAUGAAGAACAGGAACAUGCUAUUGUCAACAUGGUGAUUGCUGACAAUGAAAUAAAACUGAAGGACAUUCACUCCAGAGUUGUAGAGGACAACCUUGUCUUUGGAAACAUUGCAGCAAUCAGCAUAUCAUCCAUUUCUCGGCCUCUAGCUAAACACAGAGUCCGAAUGAAACAACUAUACAAAGUUCCUUUUGAAAGGAACAGUGAGCGCAUCAAAGAACUCCGUCACCAAUAUAUAUCGCAGAGAGUCAUGGAGUUGGAGGCCAAUCAAGUCCCACAUGAAAUUAUCUGUUGACGAGGCUGGCUUCAACUUGGCGAAAAGGCGACGCCAUGGGAGAAACAUAAUAAGCCAAAGGGCCACAGUUACUGUGCCGGGCCAGAGAGGAGCCAACAUCACCAUGUGCGCCGCAAUCUCCAACAACGGUGCACUCCUGCAUAAAUGUCAGAUUGGCCCCUGCAACACCGACCACCUUCUCCUGUUUUUAGAAGACCUGAAUGAAAGACUGGUGCCAGAGGUAGAAAGGGGACAGGUGGGAGACCACUUGCCAAUAUAUGUUAUCACAUGGGACAAUGUGGCAUUCCACAAUUCCCGUGCAGCAGUCACAGCCUGGUUUGACGCCCAUCCAAGGAUGAUGUCCCAUUUCCUUGCCCCUUACUCCCCUUUCCUCAACCCCAUUGAGGAGUUUUUCUCAGCCUGUAGAUGGAAGGUUUUUGACCAUCGUCCACAUGACCAAAUGUCCGUCCUGGAUGCAAUGAAUGCUGCAUGCCAAGACAUCACAGCUGAACACUGCCAGGGGUGGAUAAGGCAUGCCAAAAGAUUCUUCCCAUGAUGCCUUGCCAGAGAAGAUAUCAGGUGUGAUGUGAAUGAGAACAUGUGGCCAAAUGCAGAAGACCGGGCAGAAUAGAAGAUUACUUUGGUUUUUGUUUUUUUUUUAUUAUAAUUCCGGUGCUUUUUCUGUUUGUACAUCUUGCAGUAAUGUCCUUUUGCAAAUAAAGUCUGUACUGCAGCAGUUCUGUGUCUGUAUUUUUUUUUACAUACAGUAAACUGUACAUUUUAUAAAGCUACUCUGAAAUGGUCAUUCACUUUUUUGUAUUGAAUUUCUGCAGCAAAAGAGACAAAAUGCAUGCAUUUACUAAA